rnacentral:rRNA from 1 species
UUACGGGAGGCAGCAGUCGAGAAUUUUUCACAAUGGGCGCAAGCCUGAUGGAGCGACGCCGCGUGGGGGAUGAAUGGCUUCGGCCCGUAAACCCCUGUCAUUUGCGAUCAAACCUGGCUAUUUAAAAGAUGGUCAGCUGAUAGUAGCGAAAGAGGAAGGGACGGCUAACUCUGUGCCAGCAGCCGCGGUAAUACAGAGGUCCCGAGCGUUGUUCGGAUUCACUGGGCGUAAAGGGUGCGUAGGUGGUCGGGUAAGUCGGAUGUGAAAUCUCGGAGCUCAACUCCGAAACGGCAUUGGAAACUACUCGGCUAGAGGGUUGGAGGGGGGACUGGAAUGCUUGGUGUAGCAGUGAAAUGCGUAGAUAUCAAGCGGAACACCGGUGGCGAAGGCGAGUCCCUGGACAACACCUGACACUGAGGCACGAAAGCUAGGGGAGCAAACAGGAUUAGAUACCCCGGUAGG